rnacentral:rRNA from 1 species
UACGUAGGGGGCAAGCGUUGUCCGGAAUUAUUGGGCGUAAAGCGCGCGCAGGCGGUCGAUUAAGUCUGGUGUUUAAUCCUAGAGCUCAACUCUAGGUCGCACUGGAAACUGGUUGACUUGAGUACAGAAGAGGAAAGUGGAAUUCCACGUGUAGCGGUGAAAUGCGUAGAGAUGUGGAGGAACACCAGUGGCGAAGGCGACUUUCUGGGCUGUAACUGACGCUGAGGCGCGAAAGCGUGGGGAGCAAACAGG